rnacentral:rRNA from 1 species
GACGAACGCUGGCGGCGUGCUUAACACAUGCAAGUCGAACGGAAAGGCCCUGCUUUUGUGGGGUGCUCGAGUGGCGAACGGGUGAGUAACACGUGAGUAACCUGCCCUUGACUUUGGGAUAACUUCAGGAAACUGGGGCUAAUACCGGAUAGGAGCUCCUGCUGCAUGGUGGGGGUUGGAAAGUUUCGGCGGUUGGGGAUGGACUCGCGGCUUAUCAGCCUGUUGGUGGGGUAGUGGCUUACCAAGGCUUUGACGGGUAGCUGGCCUGAGAGGGUGACCGGCCACAUUGGGACUGAGAUACGGCCCAGACUCCUACGGGAGGCAGCAGUGGGGAAUAUUGCACAAUGGGCGGAAGCCUGAUGCAGCAACGCCGCGUGCGGGAUGACGGCCUUCGGGUUGUAAACCGCUUUCGCCUGUGACGAAGCGUGAGUGACGGUAAUGGGUAAAGAAGCACCGGCUAACUACGUG